rnacentral:lncRNA from 1 species
UUUACAUGUAUACCUAUUAAGUAAAUCAUUAACUUUAAACUUUGACCAACAUAUAUAUAUUUUCACCAAUCUUUCUUUAUAAAAAGUAAAUCAUCAACAUGUAUACCAGAUUUACAUGUAUACAUUUUGACCAAUCUUUCUCUAUAAAAAAAUAAAUCACCAAAUUUAAUCUUGACAAAAAAAAAUUUCUUCUUUUUAAACUUUUUUUUUCUCUAACUGUUCAGUAAGUA